rnacentral:lncRNA from 1 species
UUGGCCGUCAGGCAGACACAGCAAGGACGGCCUUCGAGUGAGGCUGGGAGAGCCUUAGGCUGGAAGGCAGUGGCUGCUCCUGGCCACAGGGGAAGGCUGCUCCCUUUUGGCUUCCUCUCUUACAGCUGGAAACACACACAGUGAUGGGACCAGACCACGGCACACUCCUGGCCUCACUGCCCUCGACCACUCAGCUGGAAGGAAGAGCUGCCACCGCUCUCCAGGACAGCCAGAAACACACAGCGAUGGGACCAGACCAUGGCACAAUCCUGGCCUUGCUACACUCGACCACUCAGCUGGAAGGAAGAGCUGCCAGCUCUCUACAGGAGAGGAUGGCAGUGACCGCUCCAUCACGAUGACGGGACACGGAUGGAUGUGCCAGACACACAAUGCAAUGGGACCAGACCACGGCACUCUCCUGGCCUCGCUCCCCUUAAGAACUCAGCAGAAGAUGACAACACUCUACAGGACAGAUAAGACAGCCCCAACCCAUUCCCCACCACGGUCCCACCUCGCUCAGUGGGAACGUGACACGGUUGAGCUACAACCAACAUCUCCUGGACUUCAGGAAGAUGCGAGUUGGACGGCCUUGGUGUGAGGCUGGGAGAGCCUCGCGCAGGGAGGCAGGGAUGGCUUCCAGUGCUGGCAGGGGUGGCUGCUCGGUUUCUCGCCUCCUCUAUUACAGCUGGACACACGGACAGUGACGGAAUGAAGCCAUGGCACACCCCUGGCCUCUCUCCCCUUGAGAAGUCAGCUGGAAAAGCUGUCAGUGUUCUCCAGGACAGG